UACAGAGGUCUCGAGCGUUGCUCGGAUUCAUUGGGCGUAAAGGGUGCGUAGGUGGCGUGGUAAGUCUGGUGUGAAAUCCCGGGGCUCAACCCCGGAACUGCACUGGAUACUGCCAUGCUUGAGUACUGGAGAGGAGAUUGGAAUUUACGGUGUAGCAGUGAAAUGCGUAGAUAUCGUAAGGAAGACCAGUGGCGAAGGCGAAUCUCUGGACAGUUACUGACACUGAGGCACGAAGGCCAGGGGAGCAAACGGG
rnacentral:rRNA from 1 species